AAAUUGAGCCAUAGACAUAAAUAAUCAUCAAUUCAAUAGUAUAUCACCAUAUCCACCUUCCAUAACUCAAUUACCAUAUCCACCUUCCACAAUUCAAUACAACCAAAUCAUGCAAAAUAGUCCAUAACCCUAUUUUCAUCACCUUUCAAUAACAACCAAUACAUAUAAUCCUCUAUCACACAUAUACAUAUAGAAAAGAACAAAGGCAAACAAUAUUCAUACCUUAGAAUUCACCUCUUGAUUAUGCAAUCCUGUUUGCACAAAUAUUAGGUGCCGUUCAAAGCUCUCGAUAUGUCAAACGCAGUUAUCGAAUUACUUUGAAAUUUCUACGGUUUAAUCAAAAGUAAUUUAAAGGUCAAAUUUGGCUAGGGUUUGUUCUUUCUCAAUGAUUGAUGAUGAAAAUAAACAACAUUCAUACCUUAGAAUUCACCUCUUGAUUAUGCAAUCCUGUUUACACAAAUAAUAGGUGCCGUUCGAAGCUCUCGGGAUGACAAACGCAGUUAUCGAAUUACUUUGGAAUUUCUACGGUUGAAUCAAAAGUAAUUUAAAGGUCAAUUUGGCUAGGGUUUGUUCUUCCUCAAUGAUUGAUGAUGAAAAUGAGGUUUUGAACUCAUAUACAUGUAUAUAUACAUAUAUUCCCGUCCAUAAUAUAAUAGAAAAUGACGAAAAUGCCUUUAAAAUUUAAAUAAUGUCAAAUCUAUCCUUUAGUGGACUGUUUUGAUAAGCUAAAGUAGAUCGACCAUAACUCUUUGCUCCGAUAUCGAAUUUGGGUGAAAUUGAUAUCAUUGGAAGGAUAAUUCAAAGAUAUUUCAUUUU
rnacentral:lncRNA from 1 species